UACGACAUACUGGUUUACGUUAGAGGGACUACUUUCUUUACUUUCGUUUUAAUAUAUUUAUAGUUUGACCUUUAUUGAACUCCAGGGCUUGGUAUGCUUGCAAAUGCAAGAUUUGAUUGGUCAGUUGUUUUAACCGCUUUCCUUUAAUUUUCGUUCGUCACAAGGUUGACACAACUUUUUCACCUGUCAAACAAUAUAGACAUAUAUAUUUUACUAUAAAUAAUAAAGGAUCAGGGUUCUAAGGAAUAUAGGAUUUUGAUACCGUUUAAACAUAAACCCCACACGAGUGCUUGAGAUCGAGUGUUAGAGACAUAUAGUGGAGCUCAGUACCACAUACUGGGCUCACGCUCAUAUAUUUCUAUGAAGAAAUAAUAAACAAUAAAACGAACCUAUUACCUGCUUAUCAAGUGAUCAUUUAACCCCAACGAUAAGCGCCCG